AGUGGCGAACGGGUGAGUAACACGUGAGUAACCUGCCCCAGACUCCGGGAUAAGCCUUGGAAACGAGGUCUAAUACUGGAUAUGAGAUGCCCCUGCAUGGGGAGUGUCUGGAAAGAUUUAUCGGUCUGGGAUGGACUCGCGGCCUAUCAGCUUGUUGGUGGGGUAAUGGCCUACCAAGGCGACGACGGGUAGCCGGCCUGAGAGGGCGACCGGCCACACUGGGACUGAGACACGGCCCAGACUCCUACGGGAGGCAGCAGUGGGGAAUAUUGCACAAUGGGCGAAAGCCUGAUGCAGCGACGCCGCGUGAGGGAUGAAGGCCUUCGGGUUGUAAACCUCUUUCAGCAGGGAAGAAGCGCAAGUGACGGUACCUGCAGAAGAAGCGCCGGCUAACUACGUGCCAGCAGCCGCGGUAAUACGUAGGGCGCAAGCGUUGUCCGGAAUUAUUGGGCGUAAAGAGCUCGUAGGCGGUUUGUCGCGUCUGGUGUGAAAACUCAAGGCUCAACCUUGAGCUUGCAUCGGGUACGGGCAGACUAGAGUGCGGUAGGGGU
rnacentral:rRNA from 1 species